AUCUAGCUGUAUGAGUGUUUUGGUCUUCAUAAAGCUAGAUAACCGAAAGUAAAAACUCCUUCAAG
rnacentral:miRNA from 1 species